GAGCCGGAGGAAAGCCCGGGAGGGGAGGACACCGGAGCGGCGCUGCGCUCAGCGGCUAGGUGAGGGUGCAAGCCCGGCCGGCCGGCCGGUCCGCCAGAACAUCUCUGAAGUCCUCACUGAAAGCAGAGCACCAACCCUUGCUGUGUUUCCUGAUUGACCCCAGAGCAGUCUAAGGCUGGUUACUGGUUCAUCACAUCUCUUCUAGCGACUGAAUAAACUCCGCAAUUUGUUCUGAUUUUGCUGGACAGGAUGGAAAAUUGGUAAACCAGAGACCUAUCUCCUGAACCACUUCUCAGAUUCUACAG